rnacentral:rRNA from 1 species
GACGAACGCGGCGGCGUGCCUAAUACAUGCAAGUCGAGCGGACCAAAUCGGAGCUUGCUCUGGUUUGGUCAGCGGCGGACGGGUGAGUAACACGUGGGCAACCUGCCCGCAAGACCGGGAUAACUCCGGGAAACCGGAGCUAAUACCGGAUAACACCGAAGACCGCAUGGUCUUUGGUUGAAAGGCGGCCUUUGGCUGUCACUUGCGGAUGGGCCCGCGGCGCAUUAGCUAGUUGGUGAGGUAACGGCUCACCAAGGCGACGAUGCGUAGCCGGCCUGAGAGGGUGACCGGCCACACUGGGACUGAGACACGGCCCAGACUCCUACGGGAGGCAGCAGUAGGGAAUCUUCCGCAAUGGGCGAAAGCCUGACGGAGCGACGCCGCGUGAGCGAAGAAGGCCUUCGGGUCGUAAAGCUCUGUUGUGAGGGACGAAGGAGCGCCGUUCGAAGAGGGCGGCGCGGUGACGGUACCUCACGAGGAAGCCCCGGCUAACUACGUGCCAGCAGCCGCGGUAAUACGUAGGGGGCGAGCGUUGUCCGGAAUUAUUGGGCGUAAAGCGCGCGCAGGCGGUCCCUUAAGUCUGAUGUGAAAGCCCACGGCUCAACCGUGGAGGGUCAUUGGAAACUGGGGGACUUGAGGGCAGGAGAGGAGAGCGGAAUUCCACGU